rnacentral:misc_RNA from 1 species
GUAUUGUGAAUUAUUUUAUUCGUAUUUUUUUCAGACAAAGAAUUAAAGAAUAAGUUAAUGUUUGGUCAUCUUCUUAGAACGAGAACAACUGACAUUGCACACAAGGUGGAUAUGGAUUUUAAAAGCGCCACAAAAACACCUAUUACGAAGAUUCUUCCGCAGGUUCACCUACGGAAA